ACAUGCAAGUCGAGCGAACGGACGAGAAGCUUGCUUCUCUGAUGUUAGCGGCGGACGGGUGAGUAACACGUGGAUAACCUACCUAUAAGACUGGGAUAACUUCGGGAAACCGGAGCUAAUACCGGAUAAUAUUUUGAACCGCAUGGUUCAAAAGUGAAAGACGGUCUUGCUGUCACUUAUAGAUGGAUCCGCGCUGCAUUAGCUAGUUGGUAAGGUAACGGCUUACCAAGGCAACGAUGCAUAGCCGACCUGAGAGGGUGAUCGGCCACACUGGAACUGAGACACGGUCCAGACUCCUACGGGAGGCAGCAGUAGGGAAUCUUCCGCAAUGGGCGAAAGCCUGACGGAGCAACGCCGCGUGAGUGAUGAAGGUCUUCGGAUCGUAAAACUCUGUUAUUAGGGAAGAACAUAUGUGUAAGUAACUGUGCACAUCUUGACGGUACCUAAUCAGAAAGCCACGGCUAACUACGUGCCAGCAGCCGCGGUAAUACGUAGGUGGCAAGCGUUAUCCGGAAUUAUUGGGCGUAAAGCGCGCGUAGGCGGUUUUUUAAGUCUGAUGUGAAAGCCCACGGCUCAACCGUGGAGGGUCAUUGGAAACUGGAAAACUUGAGUGCAGAAGAGGAAAGUGGAAUUCCAUGUGUAGCGGUGAAAUGCGCAGAGAUAUGGAGGAACACCAGUGGCGAAGGCGACUUUCUGGUCUGUAACUGACGCUGAUGUGCGAAAGCGUGGGGAUCAAACAGGAUUAGAUACCCUGGUAGUCCACGCCGUAAACGAUGAGUGCUAAGUGUUAGGGGGUUUCCGCCCCUUAGUGCUGCAGCUAACGCAUUAAGCACUCCGCCUGGGGAGUACGACCGCAAGGUUGAAACUCAAAGGAAUUGACGGGGACCCGCACAAGCGGUGGAGCAUGUGGUUUAAUUCGAAGCAACGCGAAGAACCUUACCAAAUCUUGACAUCCUUUGACAACUCUAGAGAUAGAGCCUUCCCCUUCGGGGGACAAAGUGACAGGUGGUGCAUGGUUGUCGUCAGCUCGUGUCGUGAGAUGUUGGGUUAAGUCCCGCAACGAGCGCAACCCUUAAGCUUAGUUGCCAUCAUUAAGUUGGGCACUCUAAGUUGACUGCCGGUGACAAACCGGAGGAAGGUGGGGAUGACGUCAAAUCAUCAUGCCCCUUAUGAUUUGG
rnacentral:rRNA from 1 species